UCUGCGCCUCUCGUUCAGUCACACGCAUGCGCACUUUUGUCAUGCAUGGUAAGAAGAGGCACCAUUUCUCUUUCGGCAUACAGGUCUCCCCUCUCAUGUGUUCAUCCACUUGUAACCGAUUAAAAGCUUUCAAGCACGAUCGUGCAUGCUAAUUAGUGAACUCUCCUGUUCUACCCGGCCCAUCCAUCCUACCUCCCAUCUAACCGCCAUUCCACCCACUCACCCUUAGGUCUCUUUGGUGUGUGCGGACACAGCUGUGACGCGGUCGUUUUCGAGCCUAGCGGACGAAUUGACAUACGUCAGCUUGGCAAUGACGUAGCACGAUCGUGACGACUGACUUAAACGUCCCAGACGCGCUUCUACAGUUGGAGGAGAGUAACGCCAGAGAGAGUGUUCCGACCGUUACUUAUUUGCUGUUGACCAAUUUCUUUUUUUUUUCUUCACUGAUCAACACUAACAUAACUAGGUAUUCACUAACCACCAGAAUAUUGGCAUCAUCACGUGAGCACCCCAAUGACCAACAUAUUGAUGCUCUGCAAAGAGUACAAAAGAAGAGAAGACAGACCUCAAACUGCAGCAGUAGAAGGCGGUAUCCAGGGAGUGUCUAACGAAGAAGCUGUACAGAAGAACUAUGGGUGCAUCAAGGCUUCAGAUAACAUCAUGGAAAAAAGCAGCAACAGAAAGAGUCAACCUCUGUAUACCAAACAACUGUAUACCUCGCCGCCACCCCUGCAACCAGUUCAUCACCUAUUUUCUGAUGGAAAAAAGAGACAUCGUUAUUAUCCUCAUCUUCAAUUAAGGCCAGGCACCUGAGAAGCUGUACAGAAGAACUAUGGGUGCAUCAAGGCUUCAGAUAACAUCAUGGAAAAAAGCAGCAACAGAAAGAGUCAACCUCUGUAUACCAAACAACUGCAUACCUCGCCCCCACCCCUGCAACCAGUUCAUCACCUAUUUUCUGAUGGAAAAAAAGAGACUUACAACAAACUGAAAUUAAAAACUGUGACUUCGUUAUUAUCCAUAUCUUCAAUUAAGGCCAGGCACCUGAGAAGCUGUACAGAAGAACUAUGGGUGCAUCAAGGCUUCAGAUAACAUCAUGGAAAAAAGCAGCAACAGAAAGAGUCAACCUCUGUAUACCAAACAACUGUAUACCUCGCUCCCACCCCUGCAACCAGUUCAUCACCUAUUUUCUGAUGGAAAAAAGAG